CCGCCCACCUCAGCCUCCUAAAAUGCUGAGAUUACAGGCAUGAGCCACCCUGCCCAGCCUGGCCUGGUUCUUUUACAAAACAUUCUAGAUGUUUAUGACUCACGUGUCUUUGGUACAAAAGAGGGGUGGGGGAAACAGGGUGUGUCCGGAAUUGGUGGGUUCUUGCUCUCACUGACUUCAAGAAUGAAGCCGCAGACCCUCACGUACCUAACCAUGUGCAAGAGCUUCCACAUACAUGACCUCAUCAUAUCAAGAGUUCUUCAAUGAUACGACUUUCAUUCCUGUGCCAAGUCAAAGAGUUUCAGACAAAGUCAAGAGACCCUCUUGCUUCUACCUGUGGCUCUAAGACAACCUUGAUUCAAACCUUGGUCACCGUGUGCUGAACCCCCAGGUGCCAGACUGGAACGGAGAUGUUUGGUUAGGACAACUUAUAUGGAGAACUUGGAGAGGCGCUGCACUUUACCAUUCAACAUCAGAACACCACCACUGCCACUCUAAGAAAUGGAAGGUCAUGCCUCGUUGAACCUUCCUUUUUGUUCAAGAAGACUAGAAAGGUAUCAUCGCUGCGAUUCUACCUGUAAAAGAACACCUUGAGAAGACGCCAUUCAUCACUCUGUCUGGGGGGGUUAGUUGCUUCUAAGCCAGCUAUCUCGAUGAGAGUUUGAAGAUCUACAUUGAAAUCUUUUACCUAAGAAACUUAGUCCUUACCCAUAAACCCAGGAGAAGAGGGGGAGCACGCAUCAGAGCUAGUAAAUAUAGAAAAAGUCAAACAUUCCUCAUCAAGGCCUCGGAAGAAACCAAAGAAACCAAAAAAACACCAAGGGAGAAAAUGUCCACUGAAACACGUGCCUGCCUGGGUGUGAGGAUAUCCUAUGACAGUCACUGUCGCUCAGGCAGCUGCCAGGCUGUUGCAGGACCCAGGUGGAAGAGAGAGGGAGGAGCUACGCCUUUGACUGAAUUUGGAACCUUUCAUUAUUACAAUUUCUGAAUUGAGAC
rnacentral:lncRNA from 1 species